rnacentral:tRNA from 1 species
GGGGUUGUGGCUUAGUGGUAGAGCGCCCACCUAGCACAUGCGAGGCACUGUGUUCAAUCCUUAGCACCA